GAAGCUGGAGCCAUGGAUGACCCCAGGGAGGAUAUGCAGAAGGACUGAGAGAUCCACCGCUGCCAUCCCCAGAUGGACAGGCAUAACUGAGAUGAGCACAUACAGGAAAGGUCUGCAUGGUUUUAAAGAGGGAAGACAGAGAUGCUUGUUGAUAGCACAAGGGCAAAGCUGCAAGCACUAGGAAAGGGCAUGCAAGGGGAAAUUAAGGAUGAGCUCAGAAGAAGAAACUCUGCAGGAAGCACAGAAUGACUCAAGAUUUCUUUGCUCCAUGGAAAAGUAGGAAGACAGAAAAGAUGCAGCAUCAGGGUGAAUCCUGAACCUGCAGCCAUCCGAUUGACCGCCAUCAGUCAUUUGCAGGCUCUCAGCAUUUUGGCCCCACAUAUGUACUCUCCUCCUGCUGUUCAGAAAGCCCUGCCCAGCUGCACACCUCGUUAUGCCCUGUGGCUGGGCUAUUUUAGGAAAACUUCCUCUAAAGAAAUAACAAAAUCAACAGGCUCUAACUAUUCUACCCAUGGGGCUGAGAAAGUAAAGGCUAAGUGCUAGAAAGGUACAGCAAAGCACUCAGAAGACAACUGGCUUGUCCUUUCUCUAAAUAUCACCAUUCUCCUAGAUCCAGGCAGGGCACUUUAGGUUUUGCGUGGUGUCAUUUGUGCGCAGUGCCUCAGCCAUUUUACAGAGAAAGCCAAUUGCAGCCUGAAGAGGGAAGAAAGGUUUUCCGUCAUGAUUUGAAGAAAGAAAUAACAGACUGAAGUGUGUGGGGGGGGGGGCAGGGGAAUAGCCCAGAGAGUAGGGCUGGGCAAACUGUGCCAGCUAAAACUUCCUUUGGGCUCACCCUGCUAAUUCAAGCUAUCAUGUGUUUUAACAUUUAUUUUCUAUUCAGCCUUCAUGGUUAGUGUUUAGUAUUUGCGGAAAUGAGCGUGAGCAGGAGUAGUAAAGGUCAUAGAAGGAGUUAAGUGCUAACUUAAAAAUAUGGGAAGAGGUAAGUAGAUUAAACAGCCUAAUCCAGUCCUGCUGGACAUGGACUGACCUCUUCAUUAGAGCUGAAAUCACUCAUCACCACAGUGGUGGGACCUGGUAGCUGCCAACUGGUUUGCUGAGGAGAGCGCUUAGAGGCCACGCUGACAGGGCUAUGCUUGGCUGAGGACAUGGGCCCUGUUUUGGGAUGACCAAGUGAUGUUCAGCCUUAUUCUUGCUUCUGCCAAGUUAAGGCCCUACUCAUGUGAGCACCGAGGUUGAAGGACAGGUAAUGGUGUUUUCCUGCAGCAGAGCUUCCUGCUUCUCUGCCAUGCCUCCUUUCAACUGAGAUGGCUCUUCGUGCUUUGUGAAUUUAUGGUCUUUUAUUGGUAUACACUAGAAUGAAGGAAACUGACCAUCAGGUAAUAUAUCCACUGCAUGAAAAGUAAAAACUCAUGCAAACUGGAUUUUCAACAAAAUUUGGAGCAGUAAGUGUAAAUUGUUGUACUGUUCCUGCCUUCGCAAGGAAAACUUGUUUGGGGCUGUAGUAUGACAACGUACAGUGCUUAUCAUGCAUGUGCUCACACCUGCUUCUCUUUUUCUAAAGCAUAGGUUCCAGGGGUUGUGGUACUCAUUAAGAGUGAGGCCUCAUGCCCCAGUCUUCAUUCCAUUUCAGAGGGCUGUGCUGCACACUGAGCGAAUGACUCCCUACUAUCUCAAACAAAAUGAAGAGUGGCUGAGCACACUGUGGUAUUCUGGACAUAAUAAAAAGGCGAAGGAACUGUGCUUUAUCUGCAGUAACCAUUCUCACAUUGCAGAGUAGAAACUCCUCCUCAUCUCAGCACAAAGAGCAGGUAAGGAGAGCAUCCUUUUCCAACCAGGAAGUUCUGAAGCCAAAAGUGAGUCACACGCCAAGCACAACUCACGCCUUGCAAGACAUCAACAGGCAGCCAUAUCCUCACCUUCCGACUGUGCUGGGUGUUUGAAGAUGAACGGAAUAGAAAAGUGUCUUCAGACCGUGGUAAUGCAGGCCCGAGUAAUUCUGUAAGAUGGAGUUAUAAAGUAGCAAAGGAAACAGGACUGCGGGAAGUAGGAUAAAUAAAUCAUGAAUUAACC
rnacentral:lncRNA from 7 species